CCCAGACUCCUACGGGAGGCAGCAGUGGGGAUAUGCACAAUGGCGCAAGCUGAUGCAGCACGCGCGUGAAGAGACGUUUUCGGAUGUAAACUUCUGUCUUAGUGAAGAAUAAUGACGGUAGCUAAGGAGCAAGCCACGGCUAACUACGUGCCAGCAGCCGCGGUAAUACGUAGGUGGCAAGCGUUGUCCGGAAUUACUGGGUGUAAAGGGAGCGUAGGCGGGAAGCCAAGUCAGCUGUGAAAACUACAGGCUUAACCUGUAGACUGCAGUUGAAACUGGUUUUCUUGAGUGAAGUAGAGGUUGGCGGAAUUCCGAGUGUAGCGGUGAAAUGCGUAGAUAUUCGGAGGAACACCGGUGGCGAAGGCGGCCAACUGGGCUUUAACUGACGCUGAGGCUCGAAAGUGUGGGGAGCAAACAGGAUUAGAUACCCUGGUAGUCCACACUGUAAACGAUGAUAACUAGGUGUGGGGGGUCUGACCCCUUCCGUGCCGCAGCUAACGCAAUAAGUUAUCCACCUGGGGAGUACGACCGCAAGGUUGAAACUCAAAGGAAUUGACGGGGACCCGCACAAGCAGUGGAUUAUGUGGUUUAAUUCGAAGCAACGCGAAGAACCUUACCAGCACUUGACAUCCUGCUAACGAAAUGGAGACAUAUUAGGUGCCCUUCGGGGAAAGCAGAGACAGGUGGUGCAUGGUUGUCGUCAGCUCGUGUCGUGAGAUGUUGGGUUAAGUCCCGCAACGAGCGCAACCCCUGCCAUUAGUUGCUACGCAAGAGCACUCUAAUGGGACCGCUACCGACAAGGUGGAGGAAGGUGGGGACGACGUCAAAUCAUCAUGCCCCUUAUGUGCUGGGCUACACACGUAAUACAAUGGCCAUCAACAAAGAGCAGCAAUACCGCGAGGUGGAGCAAAUCUCAAAAAAUGGUCUCAGUUCGGACUGUAGGCUGCAACUCGCCUACACGAAGUUGGAAUUGCUAGUAAUCGUGGAUCAGCAUGCCACGGUGAAUACGUUCCCGGGUCUUGUACACACCGCCCGUCACACCAUGGGAGCCGGUAACACCCGAAGUCAGUAGUCUAACCGCAAGGAGGACGCUGCC
rnacentral:rRNA from 1 species